UGGGGAAUAUUGCACAAUGGGCGCAAGCCUGAUGCAGCGACGCCGCGUGAAGGAUGAAGGUCUUCGGAUUGUAAACUUCUAUCAGUAGGGAAGAAAGUAAGCUUUCGGGCUUACCUGACGGUACCUAACUAAGAAGCCCCGGCUAACUACGUGCCAGCAGCCGCGGUAAUACGUAGGGGGCGAGCGUUAUCCGGAUUUACUGGGUGUAAAGGGUGCGUAGGCGGCAUGGUAAGUCAGAUGUGAAAUGUUGGGGCUCAACCCCAACCCUGCAUCUGAAACUGCCGAGCUAGAGUGUGGGAGAGGAAAGUGGAAUUCCGAGUGUAGCGGUGAAAUGCGUAGAGAUUCGGAGGAACACCAGUAGCGAAGGCGGCUUUCUGGACCAUAACUGACGCUGAGGCACGAAAGCGUGGGGAGCAAACAGG
rnacentral:rRNA from 2 species